GAUGAAGAACGCAGCGAAAUGCGAUAAGUAAUGUGAAUUGCAGAAUUCAGUGAAUCAUCGAAUCUUUGAACGCACAUUGCGCCCGCCAGUAUUCUGGCGGGCAUGCCUGUUCGAGCGUCAUUACAACCCUCAGGCCCCCGGGCCUGGCGUUGGGGAUCGGCGGAAGCCCCCUGCGGGCACAACGCCGUCCCCCAAAUACAGUGGCGGUCCCGCCGCAGCUUCCAUUGCGUAGUAGCUAACACCUCGCAACUGGAGAGCGGCGCGGCCACGCCGUAAAACACCCAACUCCUGAAUGUUGACCUCGAAUCAGGUAGGAAUACCCGCUGAACUUAAGCAUAUCAAUAAGCGGAGGA
rnacentral:misc_RNA from 1 species